AAGACCACACUUAGCAGGAUAUAUGCUAUAGUUAGUCUUCCUUGAACAUCAGCCUAAUAGCUGAAUACGUGCAACCACGAUGACGAGGUGUAGCAUCUUUUCCUGAGCGUGAGGACGACUCGAGAAAUUGACUUUGUUUCAAAUUCUCAGUCAUCGAUGAUCGUUCACUUCUUGUACUUAGUACGAGGAGGAUGGGAAAGAUGCUUUCUGAGUGGC